rnacentral:lncRNA from 1 species
AUCAUCGCAUCGCGUCGUGACAAACGUGUCGUAUAUACCACCGACGGAUGGAUGGACACACACGUUGGGUUGGAUUUUCGACGGCCGCGUUUUAGUUGUUUGUCGCGUUGUGCAGCGGCGCUCACGACGUUGGGACGCCCACCACCUGUAGUGCUCACCCUCUUUUCCUCGCGGCCAACCGUCCUUCCGCGCGCGCCAUAGGCGCGCGCACUCGCGCUAUGUCGUCCUUUCGGCCCGCUUCCCCUUUCAUGUUGUACGUUCCGACCGAGUGGGGGAAACGAAUUUUAAAUUCACGUCUAUGUUGUCGUUGUCAUCGCGAGUCUUUGUCAUCGUCCUAUAUUACGUGCGGUAAUGCGGUUCAUCUGACGCUGGGUAGUAAACUACAUCGGAAAUCAUGUUUAUAAACAUAACGACAAACAGAGAGCUACGCGACAAGGUUCGCCGAGUCUUGUGUUCGAGCUAAGGAGCUUAAACAACCUUCGACCGAACUAAUGACAGGAACAAAAGGGUCCACAGCGAUUUCCGUGAGAGCGUAAACGAUAUAUCAGCGCCGGUUAAACAUCAUCGGCAAUAAAGCAUGCUUUGUAUCGAGCGAACAGUUGCCUUUAGUCUGCAUUCGGAUUAAGGGGAGGGAUGGAUUAAAAGUGAAAAUAACGUUCUGGAUCUCUUUAACGCUAAACAUCAGAACGGAACAACCGAUGGAAAAGCUUCGAGCGUAUUACGCGAAUUAGUGUCGUUUCCACCCUCGCAGCUCGUCCCGUGAAUCGCAUUAAACGUUAAUGCUUAUAUAUUAAUAUAUUAAUCGAGCAGCUGAACGUGGAAACUGAACGAUUCAGCAGCGGCUCUGUGCCAGGAUUUUGCAACGCCAUUAAUCAAAUAAUAAAUAAGUUUGGAUAACUUUCGUAGCACGACGGUUGAAAAUGUUGAACCUGUUUCAUUAGCGAUUAAUUUAUUGAUAAUGUGGGGGAGGGAAUUUAAUUGUUCAACGCGAGUCAUUGAAUUUUAUGGACUAAAAAUGUGCGAAAAGAUCGAAUGUUCGAUGCUACGCUGAGAGAAGAACGAGACUCUUCAAAAUCUUUAGUGAAUAUGCACUUACGUUGUUAGAAAAAUCAAAGAAGAUUGUAAAAUGGGAAAAUAUGCAUGGAGAGAUGUAGUUGAAUAUGGUACUGAUUCAAUGGGUUUCUGAAUGAUUAUAACGUAGAAUGAUGCUCGAAAUUACAGCAUUUAAAUAUAGCACUAUGAUAUUUAAUUCCGCACGUGUCUAUAAAUGAAAAUUUUUAUAGUUUCUUAUUUUGUAUGGCUCUAGAUUUACACUAAUUUAGAGAAUACAUAACAACAAUAGAAUAA